AGUGAACGCUGGCGGUAGGCCUAACACAUGCAAGUCGAACGGCAGCACAGUAAGAGCUUGCUCUUACGGGUGGCGAGUGGAGGACGGGUGAGGAAUACAUCGGAAUCUACUUUUUCGUGGGGGAUAACGUAGGGAAACUUACGCUAAUACCGCAUACGACCUACGGGUGAAAGCAGGGGAUCUUCGGACCUUGCGCGAUUGAAUGAGCCGAUGUCGGAUUAGCUUGUUGGCGGGGUAAAGGCCCACCAAGGCGACGAUCCGUAGCUGGUCUGAGAGGAUGAUCAGCCACACUGGAACUGAGACACGGUCCAGACUCCUACGGGAGGCAGCAGUGGGGAAUAUUGGACAAUGGGCGCAAGCCUGAUCCAGCCAUACCGCGUGGGUGAAGAAGGCCUUCGGGUUGUAAAGCCCUUUUGUUGGGAAAGAAAAGCAGCAGGUUAAUACCCCGCUGUUCUGACGGUACCCAAAGAAUAAGCACCGGCUAACUUCGUG
rnacentral:rRNA from 1 species